rnacentral:lncRNA from 1 species
GUUAUCUUGAACAACUAAUUUCUAUCAUCAUACUGUACUUCUUGUUGUAGGACACUCUAGAGAGAGAAAGUAGAGAAGGGAUCCACAAAGCUAUGUAUUCCCUGCUGUGCUGGGUGUUGGAGCAAAACACAUCCACCAUCCGAGCAUUCUGGAACAACCUAUCCAAAGAUUACAAUCUGGAAAGUUAUCCCAAGAUAAAACUGCUGCUUACUAACUUCAACUCCAUAGAGAAUGGAGCGGCUCAGAGGAAACAUAGCAAGUCGUGUGGUGGACGUAAAACUCUACACAACGGGAAGAAGAGCUGUGAGGACAGAGGAUCAACUUCUCUGUACUGUGCCAGGACAAGUGAUGGAGGAAGCAAAGUGAUGCUGGUCAGAGUAAAGGAUGGAGCCUUUGCCACACAGCAGCCAUUUAAACACAGUAACUACAACAACAGUUCAAUGCAGGGAUCUAAAAUUAGGCAACCAAUAUGUGGUUUUAUUGCUUACUUUAAGCUUUUAUAGUAUUUAUGGUGAAAGUAAGAGAACUGUGGGAUUUAUCACCUGUUAAAAUACACAAACAAAAGUAACAGGAUAAACACACAUCUUUGCAUUGCAGGCAAA